GUACGAAAUUCCCUUGUAACACAUUGUACUACUAUGCCCUGAUCAUGGAUGAAAUGAUUUUUCUUUGAACUUGCACUAAAAUGUUUUAAAAAAAAAACACUUAGAGAAAAGUACCAAGUUUUGAGAGGAAGCACAAACAUAUUUCAAGGACAACAGAAAUACAAAAACUACGUUCAGUUAGAAAACCCCAAAGGGGGCCUUUGUCAAAACAGAAACUCAAGCUUUUAGAAAGAGCAAAUGACAUAGACGAAAGAAGCAGUGGAGAUGUGAUAAGUCAUCCCGUAUGUGCUGGAGUGUCACUUAGUCUGAUCUUCAAUAAACAUUGGAUCCCUGCUUUUUUUCCCCAGAAACCUGCCCUCCAUCUAAUCAGUCACCAAACAUAAUUCAAGCAAUGUGCAGUCAACAGCAACUACAAAUACCCAGACCUACACACCAUGAGAUGAAACAUUGCCAAGAUAAAGCAAAGCCCACAAGUCAAGAAGCAGCCGUCUGUCUUCAUUUAAAGGACAGUGGAAACUCCCCCGGGGAAAGCAGAGUACAAAUGUAUUGACAGGUGGUUUGAAAGAUGACUGGAGAAAAAGUUUUAAAUAACCAUCCUGAAACCAAGUGCGAGGCUGUGACACCGCUGACCUGACAAUCCGUUCGCAUACCACACUUAGAUCCUGCCCCGGUGGGACCAUGCUCACCUCAGACUGACAAAUUACAUUGAGGCUUAACUUGUGUAUGUGUUCAUUCAAAGUGACUGUUAAAUUGACAGCAAAUCAUUUUUUUUGUGCAACUUACCGC